rnacentral:rRNA from 1 species
UACGGGGGGAGCAAGCGUUGUUCGGAUUUACUGGGCGUAAAGGGCGCGUAGGCGGCCAGUGCAAGUCAGUUGUGAAAUCUCCGAGCUUAACUCGGAAAGGUCAACUGAUACUGUGCGACUAGAGUGCAGAAGGGGCAACUGGAAUUCUCGGUGUAGCGGUGAAAUGCGUAGAUAUCGAGAGGAACACCUGCGGCGAAGGCGGGUUGCUGGGCUGACACUGACGCUGAUGCGCGAAAGCCAGGGGAGCGAACGGG